rnacentral:rRNA from 1 species
AACGAACGCUGGCGGCAGGCUUAACACAUGCAAGUCGAGCGCCCCGCAAGGGGAGCGGCAGACGGGUGAGUAACGCGUGGGAAUCUACCCAUCUCUACGGAAUAACGCAUGGAAACGUGUGCUAAUACCGUAUACGUCCUUCGGGAGAAAGCUUUAUCGGAGAUGGAUGAGCCCGCGUUGGAUUAGCUAGUUGGUGGGGUAAAGGCCUACCAAGGCGACGAUCCAUAGCUGGUCUGAGAGGAUGAUCAGCCACACUGGGGCUGAGACACGGCCCAGACUACUACGGGAGGCAGCAGUGGGGAAUAUUGGACAAUGGGAGCAAGCCGGAUCCAGCCAUGCCGCGUGAGUGAUGAAGGCCCUAGGGUUGUAAAGCUCUUUCACCGGCGAAGAUAAUGCCGGUAACCGGAGAAGAAGCCCCGGCUAACUUCGUACCAGCAGCCGCCGUAAUAC